ensembl:lncRNA
CUUUAAGCUCUGCAGCUUGUGGAGAUGAUCUGGUUAUCCAGUUCAGCCUUUGGUCUGGGAUGGAAAUUCCUUAUGUAGUUUCUUUUUUUUUUUGUCUGAGUAAAUGUGGAUAACGCAGCCUCUGGUUUUGCUAGAAAUACAUCUCUAGCUGACUAAUCCUGCCAGCCUACGUAAGUGGAAAACCUGGCAGCCUUGAAUAAUACCACAGUAUUUUGACACAAGUGUUUACUGAAAGAAAAAAAACAAAGUAGGCUCAAUGCUCUGACUGCAGAAGGCCCCCAAUACAAACUUAUCAGUAGAGGUGGCAACUGAAGUACUUUGGAACCUUCCUCGUUGUAGCUGUCACUACUUGAAGAGAGUUACAGUUCUUGAGUGUGAGAAAGCAAGAUUGACACAGCAGGAGUGGUAUUUUAGAGCUGGAGAAGUGGCUUGCUACAGCUCUGUUUAUUAGCCCUGGCAGAAGAAAAUUGGCUGAGGAGCAGUGUGCUGACUGCUGUUACCCAUGGAACCUUCAGCCAGUCUGGUCUCAAGAGCACCUGAUGCUUUUAUUGAAAUUACAUCCUCUUCUCUGAAAUAGAGUUCCUAAAGUCUGUUGGAGCAGCCUUGCCCGUGCAAGCGAAGCCAUGGC